UUUUUAAAUUUUAAAUUUAAAAAAUUCAAAAUUGGGUAUGUGCACACCUUUCUCUUUCAUCCAUACACACCUGUGCACCUGUGAGACAGAUUCAGGGGAACUUUUUUUUUCUGAGGGGACCCUGCUGUCUAUUUAAUUCAUAUAAACUCAAUUUAAUUUAAAAUGAAUGCAAUGGAUGUAACACAUCUAAUACUAAGUUUCAACAACGGAUCUCUUGGCUCUCGCAUCGAUGAAGAACGCAGCGAAAUGCGAUAAGUAAUGUGAAUUGCAGAAUUCAGUGAAUCAUCGAAUCUUUGAACGCACCUUGCGCUCCUCGGCAUUCCUUGGAGCAUGCCUGUUUGAGUAUCGUGAAAUAUUCAAAGUAAAUCUUUUGUUUACUCAAUUGGUUCUACUUUGGUAUUUGAGGUUUAUUGCAGCUUCACACCUGCUCCUCUUUGUGCAUUAGCUGGAUUCUCUUGGUGUUAUGCUUGGUUCCACUUGGCGUGAUAAAUUAAUUUAAUCGCUGAGGACACUCUAUAGUGGCCAAGGUA
rnacentral:rRNA from 1 species